CUCAAAGUAACAGGUAUAAGAAGGUCUGUUCAGUCAUGGUCAAUUUCAGAUAUAUCUGGUUAAUUGGAUUUUAAUCUUGGUUAUAGCCUGAACGUGGUGACAGAUAUCUUGAUCAAAAUAUGGUAAAAAGUGUUACUUUUGGUAGUAAUUCUGUAACAGUAUGGGGUGGAAUUUAUUUAGAGAGGAGUCAAGAAUUUUGACCAGAUUGUGGCCCCUGCCUUUACCUACGAUCCAAUUGAACACGUAUGAGACUGUCUUGAAAGAUAGCAUCGAAAAAAUCAUCAGCGUUAUCACUCGUCAAAAUUUAAAUUGAAUGUAAACCUUGGAGUCUCUCUACCAUGAAAAGAGUGUCGUAAUUUUAAGUUCACAAAUGAAUCUGGAACAUUAGGGGAGUCCUCUUAUAUAGUACACACUUUUAUAACUCAUACUGCACAUUCUAGAACACACACGAGAUUUCUGUGUUAUUCCUAAAAACUACAAAAAAUCCUUCAGAUACGUAUUUUAAAAUUAACAUUAAAAGGGUGAUCAAAGAAAUCAAUUACAGUUUUAAUCUAUUAAUUAUGGAUAUUUCGUCAAUAAAAAUGAACGUCCCAUACUAAUACCACUCCAGUCAUUAGAAGAAUAAAUAAGAAAAUUCAAAUGACCCUCA